rnacentral:rRNA from 1 species
CCAAUAGCGUAUAUUAAAGUUGUUGCAGUUAAAAAGCUCGUAGUUGAAUUUCGGGAUCAAUUAAUUGGUCGUGCCUAUGGUACGUACUGAUUUUAUUGGUUUCUCCCUUCUGACGAACCAUGAUGUCAUUAAUUUGGUGUCGUGGAGAAUCAGGACUGUUACUUUGAAAAAAUUAGAGUGUUUAAAGCAAGCUAACGCUUGAAUACAUUAGCAUGGAAUAAUGAAAUAGGACGUUUGAUCCUAUUUUGUUGGUUUCUAGGAUCGACGUAAUGAUUAAUAGGGAUAGUUGGGGGCAUUAGUAUUCAAUUGUCAGAGGUGAAAUUCUUGGAUUUAUUGAAGACUAACUACUGCGAAAGCAUUUGCCAAGGAUGUUUUCAUUAAUCAAGAACGAAAGUUAGGGGAUCGAAGACGAUCAGAUACCGUCGUAGUCUUAACCAUAAACUAUGCCGACUAGGGAUCGGAUGAUGUUAAUUUUUUAAUGACUCAUUCGGCGCCUUACG